UGGGGUAUAGCCAAGUGGUAAGGCACCAGGUUUUGAUCCUGGCAUUCGGAGGUUCGAAUCCUUCUACCCCAGCCA
rnacentral:tRNA from 1 species